CUGGGUGGAUCAGUGGCGAACGGGUGAGUAACACGUGAGCAACCUGCCCCCUACUUCGGGAUAAGCCUUGGAAACGAGGUCUAAUACCGGAUAUGAGCACUUACCGCAUGGUGGGUGUUGGAAAGUUUUUCGGUGGGGGAUGGGCUCGCGGCCUAUCAGCUUGUUGGUGGGGUAAUGGCCUACCAAGGCGUCGACGGGUAGCCGGCCUGAGAGGGCGACCGGCCACACUGGGACUGAGACACGGCCCAGACUCCUACGGGAGGCAGCAGUGGGGAAUAUUGCACAAUGGGCGAAAGCCUGAUGCAGCGACGCCACGUGAGGGAUGACGGCCUUCGGGUUGUAAACCUCUUUCAGCAGGGAAGAAGCGAAAGUGACGGUACCUGCAGAAGAAGCGCCGGCUAACUACGUGCCAGCAGCCGCGGUAAUACGUAGGGCGCAAGCGUUGUCCGGAAUUAUUGGGCGUAAAGAGCUCGUAGGCGGUCUGUCGCGUCUGGUGUGAAAUCCCAUGGCUCAACUGUGGGCUUGCAUCGGGUACGGGCAGACUAGAGUGC
rnacentral:rRNA from 1 species